rnacentral:rRNA from 1 species
UCAUAGCGGAGGAAAAGAAACCAACAGGGAUUCAGUAACGGCGAGUGAAGCGGCAACAGCUCAAAUUUGAAAUCUGGCCCCCCUCUGGGGGGUCCGAGUUGUAAUUUGCAGAGGGCGCUUUGGCAUCGGCGGCGGUCUAAGUUCCUUGGAACAGGACAUCGCAGAGGGUGAGAAUCCCGUACGUGGGCGCCUGCCUUUGCCGUGUAAAGCCCCUUCGACGAGUCGAGUUGUUUGGGAAUGCAGCUCUAAAUGGGAGGUAAAUUUCUUCUAAAGCUAAAUACCGGCCAGAGACCGAUAGCGCACAAGUAGAGUGAUCGAAAGAUGAAAAGUACUUUGGAAAGAGAGUCAAAUAGCACGUGAAAUUGUUGAAAGGGAAGCGCUUGCAGCCAGACGUGCGCGCGGUUGCUCACCCCGGCUCUCGCCUGGGGCACUCUUCCGCGCGCAGGCCAGCAUCAGUUCGGGCGGUCGGAUAAAGGCCUCUGUCAAGUACCUUCCCCCGGGAAGGCCUUAUAGGGGAGGCGCAAUGCGACCAGCCCGGACUGAGGUCCGCGCAUCUGCUAGGAUGCUGGCGUAAUGGCUGUAAGCGGCCCGUCUUGAAACACGGACCAAGGAGUCUAACAUCUAUGCGAGUGUUUGGGUGUCAAGCCCGGGCGCGCAAUGAAAGUGAACGGAGGUGGGAUCCCCUUCCGGGGUGCACCAUCGACCGAUCCUGAUGUCUUCGGAUGGAUUUGAGUAAGAGCAUAGCUGUUGGGACCCGAAAGAUGGUGAACUAUGCUUGAAUAGGGUGAAGCCAGAGGAAACUCUGGUGGAGGCUCGCAGCGGUUCUGACGUGCAAAUCGAUCGUCAAAUUUGGGCAUAGGGGCGAAAACUAAUCGAAUCUCUAGUAGCUGGUUCU